CCUACGGGAGGCAGCAGUGGGGGAUAUUGCACAAUGGGGGAAACCCUGAUGCAGCGACGCCGCGUGGGUGAAGAAGCGCCUCGGCGCGUAAAGCCCUGUCAGCAGGGAAGAAAAUGACGGUACCUGAAGAAGAAGCCCCGGCUAACUACGUGGCAGCAGCCGCGGUAAUACGUAGGGGGCAAGCGUUAUCCGGAUUUACUGGGUGUAAAGGGGGCGCAGACGGCGAUGCAAGCCAGGAGUGAAAGCCCGGGGCCCAACCCCGGGACUGCUCUUGGAACUGCGUGGCUAGAGUGCAGGAGGGGCAGGCGGAAUUCCUGGUGUAGCGGUUAAAUGCGUAGAUAUCAGGAGGAACACCGGUGGCGAAGGCGGCCUGCUGGACUGCAACUGACGUUGAGGCCCGAAAGCGUGGGGAGCAAACAGGAUUAGAUACCCCAGUAGUC
rnacentral:rRNA from 1 species